rnacentral:lncRNA from 1 species
AUAGUUUUAGGAUUAGCGAAAUGGCAGCAACAAAAAACUGUAAGCAGUCGUUACUCUUAAGUGUUUAAAAACCUUUUACAUUGUAAGUACCCAAUCCAUUCUGUCCUUACGCAGUGCAGUUUUCAUGUUAAUGUUGCUGAGAUGUCCUUAAUUUUCUGAACCUUCAUCUGCAUGUAUGUCUUUGUCGCUCUUGUCUAGCAUAAGCCAGUUAAAAUGCUUUUAGACGAUUUUGCUUUUAUAAAGCUAGGUUUUAGAGUUAAGCUUUUGAAAAUGUUUACAGCAAUAAAUGCUAGUCAGCUUUCUUCCCCGUAACAGGUACACUUUCUUUGAAAAUCGAUCUAUUUGAAGAAAAACAGACUCUGUUUUUCUCGUCUUUGUUGGGGAAGGGGGGUUGUGAGGGAAAGGAAGACCUCUUUGUGUAAAGAGACUAAAGCCGUCACAGGAAACUAGAUUAAAACUGGAAAACAAGUCCUAGCUGGUUCGAGCCAAACACCAUCGUUAACGGGGGUAGUUUCUAUGGUGGUUGGGAUGGCCGAGCAGUAAACAGUCCUCAGCGAAGCCGCCUUUUGCCAACCCAACCCUGGAAAGUUUGCAGAAGUGGAAGGAGCAGAAAAUGCCAUGAGAGUGUAACUUUAAAAAGCUUGAUCUUCCAGACUCCAUGGCACCGGGCUGAGCGGCUCGUGACUGGAGAAGGGGCCCGGUACCCUCAGAGUGGACCGCCCUCCUUUGGAUAG